rnacentral:rRNA from 1 species
AAUAAUACCCGAUAGAUCAUAAUUCCUGGAAUGGUUUAUGGUUCAAAUGAUUUAUCGCCGUAGGAUGGGACUGCGGCCUAUCAGCUUGUUGGUGAGGUAAUGGCCCACCAAGGCUAUAACAGGUACGGGCUCUGAGAGGAGAAGCCCGGAGAUGGGUACUGAGACACGGACCCAGGCCCUAUGGGGCGCAGCAGGCGAGAAACCUUAGCAAUGUGCGAAAGCACGACUAGGUUAAUCCGAGUGAUUUCUGCUGAAGAAAUCUUUUGUCAGUUCUAAAACUACCGAUGAAUAAGGGGUGGGCAAGUCUGGUGUCAGCCGCCGCGGUAAUACCAGCACCUCGAGUGGUAAGGAGGUUUAUUGGGCCUAAAGCAUCCGUAGCCGGCUAUGCAAGUCUCCGGUUAAAUCCAGCUGCCUAACAGAUGGGCUGCCGGAGAUACUACAUAGCUAGGGAGCGGGAGAGGUAGACGGUAUUCGGUGGGUAGGGGUAAAAUCCUCUGAUCCAUUGAGGACCACCAGUGGCGAAGGCGGUCUACCAGAACGCGUUCGACGGUGAGGGAUGAAAGCUGGGGGAGCAAACCGGAUUAGAUACCCGGGUAGUCCCAGCUGUAAACGAUGCAAA